GAUGAACGCUGGCGGCGUGCCUAAUACAUGCAAGUCGAGCGAACGGACGAGAAGCUUGCUUUUCUGAUGUUAGCGGCGGACGGGUGAGUAACACGUGGAUAACCUACCUAUAAGACUGGGAUAACUUCGGGAAACCGGAGCUAAUACCGGAUAAUAUUUUGAACCGCAUGGUUCAAAAGUGAAAGACGGUCUUGCUGUCACUUAUAGAUGGAUCCGCGCUGCAUUAGCUAGUUGGUAAGGUAACGGCUUACCAAGGCAACGAUGCAUAGCCGACCUGAGAGGGUGAUCGGCCACACUGGAACUGAGCCACGGUCCAGACUCCUACGGGAGGCAGCAGUAGGGAAUCUUCCGCAAUGGGCGAAAGCCUGACGGAGCAACGCCGAGUGAGUGAUGAAGGUCUUCGGAUCGUAAAACUCUGUUAUUAGGGAAGAACAUAUGUGUAAGUAACUGUGCACAUCUUGACGGUAACUAAUCAGAAAGCCACGGCUAACUACGUG
rnacentral:rRNA from 1 species